GGUCCCCUUCGAGCAUGUACUAUGGGUAGAGAUCGAUAUGUGUUAUAGAGAUAGGAGUGUAGGGGUGUUGGUUCUAUCAUUUCGGAUGCAACAUUUUUGAUAUCAUCAAUCUGAUUUUAUGGGCUUUGGGGGUUGUCUAUUGCUUUAUUUGCUUGUCGUUAGCUAUUGCCGACGAUCACAGGAGUCGAGACUCUGCAUAAAAAUGAGGGUUAACCUUUCUUGUUAUACUGGCCA
rnacentral:lncRNA from 1 species